UUAGAGUUUGAUCCUGGCUCAAGACGAACUCUGGCGGCGCGCCUAACACAUGCAAGUCGAACGGAGCUUAGAGAGCUUGCUUUUUAAGCUUAGUGGCGAACGGGUGAGUAACGCGUGAGUAACCUGCCCUAGAGUGGGGGACAACAGUUGGAAACGACUGCUAAUACCGCAUAAGCCCACGGUACCGCAUGGUACUGAGGGAAAAGGAUUUAUUCGCUUUAGAGAUGGACUCGCGUCCAAUUAGCUAGUUGGUGAGGUAACGGCCCACCAAGGCGACGAUUGGUAGCCGGACUGAGAGGUUGAACGGCCACAUUGGGACUGAGACACGGCCCAGACUCCUACGGGAGGCAGCAGUGGGGGAUAUUGCACAAUGGGGGAAACCCUGAUGCAGCGACGCCGCGUGGAGGAAGAAGGUUUUCGGAUUGUAAACUCCUGUCGUUAGGGACGAUAAUGACGGUACCUAACAAGAAAGCACCGGCUAACUACGUGCCAGCAGCCGCGGUAAAACGUAGGGUGCAAGCGUUGUCCGGAAUUACUGGGUGUAAAGGGAGCGCAGGCGGGAAGACAAGUUGGAAGUGAAAACCAUGGGCUCAACCCAUGAAUUGCUUUCAAAACUGUUUUUCUUGAGUAGUGCAGAGGUAGAUGGAAUUCCCGGUGUAGCGGUGGAAUGCGUAGAUAUCAGGAGGAACACCAGUGGCGAAGGCGGUCUACUGGGCACCAACUGACGCUGAGGCUCGAAAGCAUGGGUAGCAAACAGGAUUAGAUACCCUGGUAGUCCAUGCCGUAAACGAUGAUUACUAGGUGUUGGGGGAUUGACCCCCUCAGUGCCGCAGUUAACACAAUAAGUAAUCCACCUGGGGAGUACGACCGCAAGGUUGAAACUCAAAGGAAUUGACGGGGGCCCGCACAAGCAGUGGAGUAUGUGGUUUAAUUCGAAGCAACGCGAAGAACCUUACCAGGUCUUGACAUCCGAUGCAUAACACAGAGAUGUGUGAAAUCCUUCGGGACAUCGAGACAGGUGGUGCAUGGUUGUCGUCAGCUCGUGUCGUGAGAUGUUGGGUUAAGUCCCGCAACGAGCGCAACCCUUAUUGCCAGUUACUACGUUAAGAGGACUCUGGCGAGACUGCCGUUGACAAAACGGAGGAAGGUGGGGAUGACGUCAAAUCAUCAUGCCCUUUAUGACCUGGGCUACACACGUACUACAAUGGCGUUAAACAAAGAGAAGCAAGACCGCGAGGUGGAGCAAAACUCAAAAACAACGUCUCAGUUCAGAUUGCAGGCUGCAACUCGCCUGCAUGAAGUCGGAAUUGCUAGUAAUCGCGGAUCAGCAUGCCGCGGUGAAUACGUUCCCGGGCCUUGCACA
rnacentral:rRNA from 1 species